CUUAGAGUUUGAUCCUGACUCAGAGCGAUUUUUGGCGGCAGGCUUAACACGUGCAAGUCGAACGGGCACUUCGGUGCUAGUGGCAGACGGGUGAGUAACGCGUGGGGAACGUGCCUUUCGGUUCGGAAUAAUCCAGGGAAACUUGGACUAAUACCGGAUACGCCCUUCGGGGGAAAGAUUUAUCGCCGAAAGAUCGGCCCGCGUCUGAUUAGCUAGUUGGUGAGGUAAAGGCUCACCAAGGCGACGAUCAGUAGCUGGUCUGAGAGGAUGAUCAGCCACAUUGGGACUGAGACACGGCCCAAACUCCUACGGGAGGCAGCAGUGGGGAAUAUUGGACAAUGGGCGCAAGCCUGAUCCAGCCAUGCCGCGUGAGUGAUGAAGGCCUUAGGGUUGUAAAGCUCUUUUGUCCGGGAAGAUAAUGACUGUACCGGAAGAAUAAGCCCCGGCUAACUUCGUGCCAGCAGCCGCGGUAAUACGAAGGGGGCUAGCGUUGCUCGGAAUCACUGGGCGUAAAGGGCGCGUAGGCGGACUUUUAAGUCGGAGGUGAAAGCCCAGGGCUCAACCCUGGAAUUGCCUUCGAUACUGGGAGUCUUGAGUUCGGAAGAGGUUGGUGGAACUGCGAGUGUAGAGGUGAAAUUCGUAGAUAUUCGCAAGAACACCGGUGGCGAAGGCGGCCAACUGGUCCGAAACUGGCGCUGAGGCGCGAAAGCGUGGGGAGCAAACAGGAUUAGAUACCCUGGUAGUCCACGCCGUAAACGAUG
rnacentral:rRNA from 1 species